GAUGAACGCUGGCGGCGUGCCUAAUACAUGCAAGUCGAGCGAACAGACGAGGAGUUUGCUCCUCUGACGUUAGCGGCGGACGGGUGUGUAACACGUGGAUAACCUCCCUAUGAGGCUGGGAAAACUUCGGGAAACCGGAUCUAAUACCGUAAAAUAUAUUGAACCGCAUGGUUAAAUAGAGAAAGACGGUUUUGCUUUCACUUAUAGACGCAUCCGCGCCGCUUUAGCUAGUUGGUAAGGUACCGGCUUACCAAGGCAACGAUGCGUAGCCGACAUGAGAGGAUGGACGGCCACACGGGAAGUGAGACACGGCCGAGACACCGGCGGGGGGCAGCAGUAGGGAAUCUUCCGCAAUGGGGGAGAGCCUAACAGAGCAACGCCGCGUGAGUGAUGAUGGUGUUCGGAUGGUAAAACUCUGUAGUUAGGGAAAAACAAAUGUGUAAGUAACUAUGCACAUAUUGACGGUACCUAAUCAGAAAGCCACGGCUAACUACGUG
rnacentral:rRNA from 1 species